GAUGAACGCUGGCGGCGUGCCUAAUACAUGCAAGUCGAACGAAACUUCUUUAUCACCGAGUGCUUGCACUCACCGAUAAAGAGUUGAGUGGCGAACGGGUGAGUAACACGUGGGCAACCUGCCCAAAAGAGGGGGAUAACACUUGGAAACAGGUGCUAAUACCGCAUAACCAUAGUUACCGCAUGGUAACUAUGUAAAAGGUGGCUAUACUACCGCUUUUGGAUGGGCCCGCGGCGCAUUAGCUAGUUGGUAGGGUAAAGGCUUACCAAGGCAAUGAUGCGUAGCCGAAUUGAGAGGUUGAUCGGCCACAUUGGGACUGAGACACGGCCCAAACUCCUACGGGAGGCAGCAGUAGGGAAUCUUCCACAAUGGGCGAAAGCCUGAUGGAGCAACGCCGCGUGGGUGAAGAAGGUCUUCGGAUCGUAAAACCCUGUUGUUAGAGAAGAAAGUGCGUGAGAGUAACUGUUCACGUUUCGACGGUAUCUAACCAGAUAGCCACGGCUAACUACGUG
rnacentral:rRNA from 1 species